rnacentral:rRNA from 1 species
GAUGAACGCUGGCGGCGUGCCUAAUACAUGCAAGUCGAGCGAAUGGAUUAAGAGCUUGCUCUUAUGAAGUUAGCGGCGGACGGGUGAGUAACACGUGGGUAACCUGCCCAUAAGACUGGGAUAACUCCGGGAAACCGGGGCUAAUACCGGAUAACAUUUUGAACCGCAUGGUUCGAAAUUGAAAGGCGGCUUCGGCUGUCACUUAUGGAUGGACCCGCGUCGCAUUAGCUAGUUGGUGAGGUAACGGCUCACCAAGGCAACGAUGCGUAGCCGACCUGAGAGGGAGAUCGGCCACACUGGGACUGAGACACGGCCCAGACUCCUACGGGAGGCAGCAGUAGGGAAUCUUCCGNNANGGACGAAAGUCUGACGGAGCAACGCCGCGUGGGUGAUGAAGGCUUUCGGGUCGUAAAACUCUGUUGUUAGGGAAGAACAAGUGCUAGUUGAAUAAGNUGGCACCUUGACGGUACCUAACCAGAAAGCCACGGCUAACUACGUGCCAGCCGCCGCAGUAA